GACGAACGCUGGCGGCGUGCUUAACACAUGCAAGUUGAACGGAAAGGCCCUGCUUUCGUGGGGUGCUCGAGUGGCGAACGGGUGAGUAACACGUGAGUACCCUCCCCUUGACUUUGGGAUAACUUCAGGAAACUGGGGCUAAUACCGGAUAGGAGCUCCUGCUGCAUGGUGGGGGUUGGACAGUUUCGGCGGUUGGGGAUGGACUCGCGGCUUAUCAGCUUGUUGGGGGGGUAGUGGCUUACCACGGCUUUGACGGGUAGCCGGCCCGAGUGGGUGACCGGGCACAUAAAGACAGGAAUAGGGCGUAGACCCCUGCGGGAGGCAGGAGUGGGGAAUAUUGAAGACUAGGAGGAAGACUGAUGCAGCAACGCCGAGCGGGGGAGGAGGGCGUGCGGGUUGGAAACAGCUGUAGCCGGUGACGGGGGGGGAGUAACGGUUAUAGGUAAAGAGGCGCCGGCGAGCUACGUG
rnacentral:rRNA from 1 species